rnacentral:rRNA from 1 species
AUUGAACGCUGGCGGCAUGCCUUACACAUGCAAGUCGAACGGUAACGCGGGGCAACCUGGCGACGAGUGGCGAACGGGUGAGUAAUGCAUCGGAACGUGCCCAGUAGUGGGGGAUAGCCCGGCGAAAGCCGGAUUAAUACCGCAUACGACCUACGGGUGAAAGCGGGGGACUCGCAAGAGCCUCGCGCUAUUGGAGCGGCCGAUGUCAGAUUAGGUAGUUGGUGGGGUAAAAGCCUACCAAGCCGACGAUCUGUAGCUGGUCUGAGAGGACGACCAGCCACACUGGGACUGAGACACGGCCCAGACUCCUACGGGAGGCAGCAGUGGGGAAUUUUGGACAAUGGGCGCAAGCCUGAUCCAGCCAUGCCGCGUGCGGGAAGAAGGCCUUCGGGUUGUAAACCGCUUUUGUCAGGGAAGAAACGCUCUGGGCUAAUACCCUGGGGUAAUGACGGUACCUGAAGAAUAAGCACCGGCUAACUACGUGCCAGCAGCCGCGGUAAAGUAG